GGUAGUGGAAGCCUGUGGAGGGUGAACUAAAAAUACUCAGGAACCAAUGAAAUGCACAGCAAAUGCACAGUAUGCAAAGGAAUAUUUGUGUUUGCUAAGAGAAAUGAUGCAGUCCUGUUCUCCUCAAUCCAGGGUAAAAUGAGCAACAUGAACUAUAAGCAAUCUUAGAGCAUUAUGUCUCCCUCAUCCUUCUACCAAGAUCUGACCAGUAAAACUGCUC